ACCCCACUAUUAGCCCUCAAGGUAAAUUCUAAGCACUACAGCUACAAAGCUAAAACUUAAAUAACAUGGCGGCAAGCUUAAAUUUCAGAGAAACCUACCAGAUAAAUGACAACCCGCAAUAGAUUCUUACUUUAUCUAAAAGUUUAUAUAUCGCCGUCUAGUAAUCUUCGCUAAGAAGGCUACGAAAUGUUUUUAAUCAAAAAGACAGGUCAUGACAUAGCAUAUGAUAAAGACAUAAGGUGGGUUACAAUAAGAGUUUCUUUCGGAAUCUAGCCUAAAGGCUAUUUUUAAGAUGGAUUUGAAAGUAAUAUUUAAAAUAAAUAUAAUAUGAAUUUUUCUGAGUUUGUGUACACACCG
rnacentral:rRNA from 1 species